rnacentral:misc_RNA from 1 species
UAAUAUUUCCUUGCCACUAGUACGCACAUGCGUAUAUGCGUAAAGGAGAAAAUCUAAGACUGAUGCUAUUUACAAAAUCACGAAAUCAAGCCAUGAAUGUAAAUCAUGACAAAACCAAAGUACUUAGUUCACUCGGUAAAAAAAAUUAGAUGUAGUAAAGACGUAAAUUACUUAUAUUGACUUAAUUCUGUCUUGAGUUAUUUAAAACAAAGAAGUCGUGAAAAUAAAUAGUUACAGCCCAAUGGUGGCGACCAAUGGCAAUNAAUCGCGCUACAGGAAGCCCAUGUAAACGAUCUAUGAUCGUCUAGUUAUAUAUUAAUUUAUCACCUCGAUCAAUAGUUCACUUUGAAGGUAGGAGCAAAUACGGAGAGAAGCGUUAGUAUCAUGGCCGGUAACACGGAAUUGCAGUCUGGAUACGACUAUCAGUUUGUUGCACAAGUACCUGAACACUAUAUUUGUAGUAUUUGUCAUCUUGCAAUGCGAAAACCCGUUCAGACAAGAUGUGGACAUCGAUUUUGUAAGGACUGUUUACACAGGAGCUUAGAGAGAAAGCGAGAAUGCCCUUUGGAUAAAAACUAUCUCACUUCUUAUCAAGUAUUUGAGGAUGUAGCAACAGAAAGGGAAAUUCUUUCACUCCACGUAAAUUGCCCCAACCAUGGUUGUAGUUGGCAGGGUGAAGUUAGAGAUGUCAAGGAUCACGAAAGCAAAUGUCCACUGACUGCUGUCCCCUGCAACUACUUCAAAUUUGGAUGCACUUUUAAGGGACCACGAAAAUCUUUAAGCGAGCAUUAUAAGAACAACCUAGCAGAGCAUCUUGANAUUAUGACACAACACUUCUUGCCUCUUGAAGAGGACAAUAAAAGUCUUAAGAGAAUGUACUUGGCACUGAAGGAUGAGAACAAGAGGCGAGUGGAGGAGCUGCAAGCAAAGGUCUUGAUGCUGCAAGAUGAGAAUAAGAAACAAGAACUCAAGGAAUGCAACACGGUAAUAAUGACCAAAGAUGAUCAGUCAAGAUAUAGUUACAUAUGGAAAAUCAACGAUUUCAGCAGACAGCUACAGCUUGCAAAGCAGCAAGACCGUGAUAUCAGACUGUGCAGUGAACCGUUUUACACUCACAAGAAUGGAUACAAACUGAAACUACAGUUAUAUCCUAAUGGAUUUGGUGCAGGGAGCCCAUGUAAGCGACCUAAGAGCGUCUAGUUUCACUACUAGGCGCCGACUGCGUGUAGCACGAAGUCGAACGGAAGAGUUGAUCAUUGAAAUCAUGGCCAGUAACACUGAAUUACCGUCUGGAUACGACUAUCAGUUUGUCGAGCAAGUACCUGANGACUACAUUUGUAGUAUUUGUCAUCUUGUAAUGCGUAUUCCAGUACAGACAAAGUGUGGACAUCAAUUUUGUAAAGACUGUUUGGAUGCAGCCUUAAAGAGAAAACGAAAAUGUCCUCUGGACAACAAGCGACUUACUGCACAGCAGGU